AGACACCCUUCUGGGGCAAGACUUGCUUCAGUGGGGCUUUGGUGCUCACUGAGUCUGCCCUCUGAUGUGUCCCU
rnacentral:pre_miRNA from 1 species